CUUCGCCUGCCGGCGACCGGCGCACGGGUGAGUAACACGUAUGCGACCUGCCCCCGCAGGGGGAUAACCGGGAGAAAUCCCGACUAAUACAACAUAAUGCCGGGAGGGGACAUCCCCUGCCGGCCAAAGGGGGCGACCCCGGUCACGGAUGGGCAUGCGGCGCAUUAGGUAGUUGGUGGGGCAACGGCCCACCAAGCCGACGAUGCGUAGGGGUUCUGAGAGGAAGGUCCCCCACAUUGGAACUGAGACACGGUCCAAACUCCUACGGAAGGCAGCAG
rnacentral:rRNA from 1 species